rnacentral:rRNA from 1 species
CCUACGGGAGGCUGCAGUGAGGAAUAUUGGUCAAUGGACGAGAGUCUGAACCAGCCAAGUAGCGUGAAGGAUGACUGCCCUAUGGGUUGUAAACUUCUUUUAUAUGGGAAUAAAACGUUCCACGUGUGGGAUUUUGUCUGUACCAUAUGAAUAAGGAUCGGCUAACUCCGUGUCCGCAGCCGCGGUAAUACGGAGGAUCCGAGCGUUAUCCGGAUUUAUUGGGUUUAAAGGGAGCGUAGGUGGAUUGUUAAGUCAGUUGUGAAAGUUUGCGGCUCAACCGUAAAAUUGCAGUUGAAACUGGCAGUCUUGAGUACAGUAGAGGUGGGCGGAAUUCGUGGUGUAGCGGUGAAAUGCUUAGAUAUCACGAAGAACUCCGAUUGCGAAGGCAGUUCACUGGACUGCAACUGACACUGAGGCUCGAAAGUGUGGGUAUCAAACAGGAUUAGAUACCCCGGUAGUC